UACAGAGGGGGCAAGCGUUGUUCGGAAUUACUGGGCGUAAAGGGCGCGUAGGCGGCCUUCUAAGUCGAACGUGAAAUCCCCGGGCUCAACCCGGGAACUGCGUCCGAUACUGGAAGGCUGGAAUCCGGGAGAGGGAUGCGGAAUUCCAGGUGUAGCGGUGAAAUGCGUAGAUAUCGGAAGGAACAUCAGUGGCGAAAGCGACUUCCUGGACCAAUACUGACGCUCAUGUGCGAAAGCGUGGGGAGCAAACAGG
rnacentral:rRNA from 1 species